rnacentral:tRNA from 2 species
GCCCAGUUAGCUCAGUUGGUAGAGCAGCGGAUUUAUAUCCCGUAGAGCCAGAUAAGCUGUUUGCGCCGGUUCGAUUCCGGCACUGGGUACCA